ensembl:lncRNA
AAAAGAUGUAAAAGAGCUGCAAAUACUCCCAUGUAUUUUAGAUUGUGGUUUCAUUUAGUUAUAGUCAGAAAUGCCACAUGUUCUGACCUACAUUUACAAAUGUCAUCACUAAACUUUUUCAAGGCAGAAACAAUUUUGAGGCAACCUGUCCUGCUGUUAUGUUAUAAAUGUAAUUGUUUUACACACAUACUACUAUUUAUGCAGUGACAGUUAUUACAGUCCUCCCUCUUUUUUCGUAAUCAUCACUUCUGUUAAUAUUGAGGUGUUUUGCUACAAUAUUUAUAAACAUGCAGAUUAGAGUAAGAAUUUCAGUGAAAUACAAAAGAAAAAAUGUCUUCAGAAGUCUUUGUUUGUCUGGAUCGGAGUCAGAAUGACGUUAUGUGAGAGGAGGGGCAGCAGGCUGGAUCUGAACUCUACAGGAAAGUAUGUUUCAGCACUUUUUGAAUGAGGCACAACACAGGACAGCCAAUCAGAGCAAAUCAGCUCGUUUGUCUUAUAUCAGGCUGAGAGGCAGAGAACAGCUUGCUCAACUCUAAAUGAUAGAGAUGUUGGGAAAUGGUCGUGUUAAUGUGAAUGAAUAUGGGCCCUUUAAAACAACUUUAAAGUAGCUUUAAAUCUGUUAAACAAGUUGCCCCUGAAUGUCUUCUUGUUCCUAACUGAACUUGUGCUGAGUCUGUGGCCUCACUGUGACUUCUGCUUCUCCAUUUUCUGGCCUCUUUUGAGAAACAGGAAACAGUACCUGGAGACACAGGAAACAGAAGCUGCCGCACAGGAAGAGAGCGCGGUCAAGCAGAGAAAACCCUCAGAUGGAGUAGGAACAAGUGUGCAGGGGCGUAAUGAGCGCCUCCGAGCUGUAGCAUCCCGGCUGUUGGACAUGGUUUUGGAUUUGGAACGUGCUCACGCCUCCUUCCAGCACAGAGAGUCUGAAGAGGCCAGCAGCCUGAUCCUGCCUUCAUAGAGUGCACUACAUUCUGCCCUUAAAGCCCACCCUGCACUCCAGACCUGCUGCACAGCCUGGCAAUCUCUUCACGACCUGAAGAUUUUCUAAUCCUGUGCUCUUCAGACACCCUUCAGUCUUGACAAACCUCUGACACACUUAGUGCCCUAGAUUAGUAGUUCCCUUGCUCCACCCUCACCCUUCACCCACACCAUGCAGGUAAAAUAUGACUAUUCCUUUAGGGCCUCUCGUCCUGUAAAAGAUAAUUAUGCAAUUUAGUAAAUUAAUCAUUUUAUGACGAUUGUCAGGCUUUAUAAUUAGACCAACAUUCACGAAACAUUUGUGACUUGUUUUUGUAUGUAUUUGUAUUUUGAACCGACUUGAACUGAUUUGAACUGAUGCUUUGUGUUGAUUUUAUAGCCAGCAGCCAAACUGUAGCUUUUGAAAAUAUGAGUAUGUCUGUAUGUAUCCAUAUAUGGUUAGCAUGGCGGGAUGCUAAAUGACAUCACCUGCUUAACAACAUGCCACACAUUCACUCAAACACACGUGCACACACACACAGCAGGAGAAUCGUGCCUGUAUCUGCGCUGCCGCUUUGUUUACCCAGUGGAUGACUUUUCA